AGGGUGAGAAUCCCGUUUGUCAUUUGCAGUUCUCUAUGCACGGUGUGCACUUUUAGAAUCACGCUCCUCGGGACUGGAGUGCAAAGUGAGUGGUAAAUUUCAUCCAAACGUGAACAUGUUAUUGAGACCGAUAGCAAACCAGUACCCUGAGGGAAAUGUGAAAAAAGUACUUUGAAAAGAGAAUUAAAAGAGCCUGCCCUUGCUGAAUGGAAAGCAGCCAGGAUUUCAAAUGUUUGGAAAGAUUACUACGUGUCAACAAAAACGCUGCAUCUCAUUAUGUAAAUGUGAUUUGUAACGUUGUUUGUGAUGUGCGUGGAGUUUCUUUCCUGACAUGUCAGUUUUCUAUUUUCAUAAUGAAUACCUGCGUUUUUCUACGUAGCAUGCUCAUGGGUGUGUGAGUGUUUGACUGCAUAUCUUUGUGAAAAUUGGGAGGAACGUGCCUGGUAGUUUCAAAUCUGUGUUUGUUUUCUCAAAGCCAUUGCUUUGAGCAAUCCGUGAACCUUGGCACAAUAAUACUGACUAACUGUUUCUGUUUGACCCGUCUUGAAACACGGACCAAGGAGUCUAACAGGUUUGCGAGCUUAUUGGUGUUCAAACUGUUUACGCAAUGAAAGUGGUAGCCCGGAUCUUUGCACGUGCAGCCAACCAAUUGAUUGAUAGAGGUUUGAGUUUGAGCAUUUCUGUUAGGACCCGAAAGAUGGUGAACUAUGCCUGAACAGGGUCAAGUCAGGGGAAACUCUGAUGGAGGCUCGUAGCGAUAUUGACGUGCAAAUCGUUCGUCACACUUGGGUAUAGGGGCGAAAGACUAAUCGAACCAUCUAGUAGCUGGUUUCCUCCGAAGUUUCCCUCAGGAUAGCUGGAGUUGAACAGUUUCAUCAGGUAAAGCGAAUGAUUAGAGGAAUUGGGAACGUGCUGUUUUUGACCUAUUCUCAAACUUUAAAUGGGUAAGAUGCAAUGGUUGCUUUGUUGAACGUUUUGGGAUAAAUGAUGAUUUCAAGUGGGCCAUUUUUGGUAAGCAGAACUGGCGACGAGGGAUGAACCUAACGCUGGGUUAAGGUGCUUAACUGCUUGCUCAUCAGAUACCAGAAAGGGUGUUGGUUCAUUUUAACAGCAGGACGUAGGUCGCUGAUGGGAA
rnacentral:rRNA from 1 species